CAGCUGGAUCGAGGGCAGCUGAUCGAUGUCCGACAGCAUUGUGGGCACUCCUGGAAGGGCAUCGCAUCAGUUGCAAGGGAGAAUAAAUUCGGUAGGAGGAGAGAGAAUUUGUAUUCAUUAAUUAGACAAACGAAUCGGAACCGGCUUGGAAACUGCAUCGAAGACUUCCCCACUUAUUGAUCGCGUUAUUGAUCACCUGGCCAGCCACCUUCACCUUCACCUUCACCUUGACAUUCGCAUGGGUAUCGGAAGCAGAAUUAAAGCAAAGCAAAGCGGAUCAAAGAUUUUGCAGCAUCGGAAGCCAUGGACUCCCGUUGAGGGUUAUAUCCACAAUGCAAUUCUUGCUAAUCUCCGACUCAGGCUCGGCCUCAGGUGAUCUUUGAUCAGACGAAAUGCGAAACACCUUGAACUGAAUUCAAAGCUGAAUCUCUUGACAAGUUCUACUUGGGCAACAAGUUUUAAAUUACGAGUGCAAGCAAGUACUGGAUUAAGUAUAAGUAUCUAUCUGUAUGGUAUGGUGUAUACCAUAGUAUGUAUAUAUUUCAAAUGAAAUGGAACCAUUGGAACAAA